UGGACCAAAGCGUAACAAUGUGAUCGAUCGAUUAGAUUAUUCCAUCGAUCGGUCGAGAAUCUCAAGUGUUCCUCGAAAUUUUUCUCGGAAAAUCUCGAACGGUUUUUUAUAAACGGAUCGAUCGAUGGAUAAAUGUCCAAAAACGCAUCGAUCGAUCACUAAGAUGGACCAAAGCGUAACAAUGUGAUCGAUCGAUUAGAUUAUUCCAUCGAUCGGUCGAGAAUCUCAAGUGUUCCUCGGAAUGUCCUCGGAAAAUCUCGAACAGAUUUUUAUAAACGGAUCGAUCGAUGGAUAAAUGUCCAAAAACGCAUCGAUCGAUCUUGUUUUCUUGUAGUGAUGAUGAAAAGUUGAAUUAUUGGGAUUCUAUAGAAAUGUAUUAGGUUUUAUAAGCAAGUUUCUCUAAAUGUGUAAAGUAUAUAUAGCGAACUAAAAGGGCUUGUAACUGCAAGCCACUGGAGAGUAAUAGUCUGAGGAACAUAUCAGGUGGAGCUAAUGGAUGAAGUUCACAUGCUUGUGCCUUGUCUUUUUAGAAACCAUUUUGUUUUCUUUCUUUUUGGUGAAACAUGUUUUGUAUAAGACCCUACCAUUCGCCGAAGAUGAAUUAUAACAACCUACCAUCUCUUAUAUGAACUGAACCAAAAUAACAAUGGAGAAACAUGUUACAAUCAACUUGUAUGAAUUUUUUUAUAUAAAAAAUGUGCUCCAAC
rnacentral:lncRNA from 1 species